rnacentral:misc_RNA from 1 species
GAUGAAGAACGCAGCGAAAUGCGAUAAGUAAUGUGAAUUGCAGAAUUCAGUGAAUCAUCGAAUCUUUGAACGCAUCUUGCGCUCCUUGGUAUUCUGAGGAGCAUGCCUGUUUGAGUGUCAUUAAAUUCUGAACUACACUGACUUUGAAUUGGUGUGGCUUGGAUUUGGGGGGAAAAUUGUUGUGGGCUUUUUGUAUAGUCUGCUCCCCUGAAAUUGAUUAGCGGUACCUUUGUGGAACUGUCUACAGGUGUGAUAAUUAUCUACAUCUUAGACAUCUGCUGGAAUGCUGCUUUCUAAACCUUACUUGUAUUGACAAUCUUGACCUCAAAUCAGGUAGGACUACCCGCUGAACUUAAGCAUAUCAAUAAGCGGAGGA